UUGCUUUGGCAGCAUAGAUACCAAAAUUAAUGCAACACAUAAAAGAUUAGCAUUGCCCCUACAAGGAUGACCACAUGCAAAUUCGUGAAGCAUCCCAUGUUUUC
ensembl:snRNA U6 U6 spliceosomal RNA